rnacentral:rRNA from 1 species
CAACCUGCCCACCACUUGGGGAUAACCUUGCGAAAGUAAGACUAAUACCCAAUGAUAUCUCUANAAGACAUCUGAAAGAGAUUAAAGAUUUAUCGGUGAUGGAUGGGGAUGCGUCUGAUUAGCUUGUUGGCGGGGUAACGGCCCACCAAGGCAACGAUCAGUAGGGGUUCUGAGAGGAAGGUCCCCCACAUUGGAACUGAGACACGGUCCAAACUCCUACGGGAGGCAGCAGUGAGGAAUAUUGGUCAAUGGACGAGAGUCUGAACCAGCCAAGUAGCGUGCAGGAUGACGGCCCUAUGGGUUGUAAACUGCUUUUAUAAGGGAAUAAAGUGAGUCUCGUGAGAUUUUUUGCAUGUACCUUAUGAAUAAGGACCGGCUAAUUCCGUGCCAGCAGCCGCGGUAAUACGGAAGGUCCGGGCGUUAUCCGGAUUUAUUGGGUUUAAAGGGAGCGUAGGCCGGAGAUUAAGCGUGUUGUGAAAUGUAGACGCUCAACGUCUGCACUGCAGCGCGAACUGGUUUCCUUGAGUACGCACAAAGUGGGCGGAAUCCGUGGUGUAGCGGUGAAAUGCUUAGAUAUCACGAAGAACUCCGAUUG